UACGUAGGGGGCAAGCGUUAUCCGGAAUUACUAGGCGUAAAGGGCAGGCAGGCGGAUCCAUAAGUUUAUCGUUUAAGGCGUCGGCUUAACCGGCGUAGGGCGGUAGAUACUGUGGAUCUGGAAUGCGGUUGGGGAAGACAGAAUUCCUGGUGUAGCGGUGGAAUGCGCAGAGAUCAGGAGGAAUACCGAAGGCGAAGGCAGUCUUCCAAGCCGUUAUUGACGCUCAACUGCGAAGGUGUGGGUAUCAAACAGGAUUAGAUACCCUGGUAGUCCCUGA
rnacentral:rRNA from 1 species